rnacentral:pre_miRNA from 1 species
AAUUUAGAAAGUGGAGACACAUAAGGGACGAUACAGACAGGACAAACCUGUCUGUAUCGUACCUUAUGUGUCUCCACUUUCUAAAUCUUUAAGCC